CAAGAACAAACAAAUCUACACCUUAAACCAAACAACUUUAUGGAUGGGAGAAGAAGACCUUCUAGAGACUGUCUAUCAUUAGUCUGACAGACCGCCUAGUGCGGGCAUCUAUGAGGUUUAGCUAUCUUAAUGGUUUUUUUGUUAUUUUCUUAGUUUAAGUUCUGUGUAGAGACUGUUAUAAGCUUAGACAGUACACUAUAUUUGCAUUAAACUCUGUAUAGAAACUUUGUGGAUAAAAGUGUUUUCUUCAAUCUUGUUCUUUGAUUUUCUUGCUUGUUAUAUUGUUGAGAACAAACAAUUGACGCUGUAUGUGGGUACAAGAAAACAGAAAUCAAGAAGUUGAAGACAUGAUUAUCAAGUUUGACAUCGAGAAGUCUUUCAGGGAGAACAACUUUGAAUUAUGUAGAACGAAAAUGGAUGCUAUCUUGCUCCAACAAGAUUGUGUUGAUGCUAUGAAGGGUGAGGUAAACAUGACAGUGUCUAUGUCUCAGAAAGAUAAGACUGACAUGAUCAACAAAGUCAGGAGCGUCAUAAAUUUAUGUCUUGGUGAUAAGACCAGGCAGAUUCUCAAAAAUACUUUCUCUUCCUGAGUACAACUUUUCCCCUGUAGGAAGUCCUGGAAGGGAUUUGUUGCAUCAUUCUGUGACUGCACAGGCAAGAUUUUCUUCCUCGGGAAAAACCUCAAUUGGUCUUCCAAACCAAGAAACUAACAAUUCAGAAAAAGCAGUCAAGCAUUUGUGAUGAAAUCUCUAAAAAUAAAGUACAAGAAAUUAAGCCAGUGUCAAAUUUCUCCCAUGAUAUUGGUCCUAUUGAUACAUCUGAAGGCUGGUGUCCUAUUAGAGAUGAGAGAGCCACAGAAGGUACCAUGUUCAACUUCAAAGUAAAUGACCUAAGCUGUAGAUGCUGUGAUUAAAUUUCAGUUUGUAUUCAUGCUUAUAUACGGUUUUUUGGCUUAUCAUUUCUGAACUAUGAAGAAGAUAAUGUUGAAUCUGCAAAAGAGAAAAAUGAAUUGGAAUCAGAGCUGUUUCUAGUAUAGGAUCGAGUAACUUUACAGAAUACGCCUUCACACCUUAGUCCACACUUGUUCAGGUUUAAACGUGUGUGACUGGUCAUUCAUUUUCGGUGAUUUUUCCCGCCCGGUCCUAGUUACUUGGCCGUCUGACCAUGGCCACACAGUACCAGAUCCAAAUGGCUUCAUUAUAGGAAAGGACCAAAAAAUAGAUAUCUCAGAAAUUCUUGAUGGUGCAAGAUGUUCUGGAUGUUUGAAUCAGGAUGAGGGUAUAACAGAAGAGAACAAACUAUCAUCUCUGGCUAUGUUCUUAAUAGUCAAAACCAUAUCUUAAAAACAAGACCUUGAAACUUUUUGUUGCACUUGUUCUAUUGUCUCUAAACAAUAAACUAGAAGUAGAAACAGGAUGCUGGUUGUGAGGGUUCCAGAAAUCUACUCUUUAUCUAGAUAAUAAAAUGUUAUAAUUAAAUUUUCAUAUUAAUUCAAUAAAUUAAACUUUAUCCUUAUUUAAUGUUAUCUAUGUCAUUUUUUGUUUAUUUAGUAAGGCGGAGAAAGCUUCUCAAUACAAAAAUUUGAAUUUCUUCUUAUCUGAUACUAUUUUUCUAAUAACAAAAUUUUGAGCCUUGUGAGUGAAAGUUCAGUGAGUAUUCAAUUUGAGUUUAAGGACAAUUAGAACAACUUCCACUUGUAAGACUACUUACUCACUGUCUUUUGAUCAUACAAUGUUUAGAGGAAUUCCUAUGUGUGAGGAGGAAGGGAAGCAAAGAGGGGAUAAAAAUUGAUUAACAAGAACACUGGAGAGUUAUAGAGUUCUUCAAUUUGGUACAGUUUCUUUCAUCCUACCAGACUAAUUUGAUAUUGGAUAAUAUAUUGUGAAUAAGGAUACUCAAAUAAGGAACAAAAAGUAAAUGGGGAGGCAGUGGCAAUUGCAUCUUACAGAAAUGAAAAAUAUAGGUUUGUUUACAAUGACAAAGCACAGUCUUAUUUAGGGUGUGACUCACUUCACCUAUUGAAGGCCAAAGUUUGAUUUGCUGAUCCCAUUAGAAGGUUUUUUAAUUUUGUUUGUAUCAUGUUUGUAUAUUUGCUUUUUGGUUAGCCUAUUGAUUUCACGAAGUUAUAAAAUAGCGUACAAUCAGCCUUUUGUGGUUGGGAUGGGAACUGAGCAGAAAUAUGCACGA